UACGUAGGGUGCGAGCGUUAAUCGGAAUUACUGGGCGUAAAGCGUGCGCAGGCGGUUUUGUAAGCCAGAUGUGAAAUCCCCGGGCUUAACCUGGGAAUGGCAUUUGGGACUGCAAGGCUUGAGUGCGGCAGAGGAGACUGGAAUUCCUGGUGUAGCAGUGAAAUGCGUAGAUAUCGAGAGGAACACCUGCGGCGAAGGCGGGUUGCCUGGGCGUGAAGUGACUGACGCUGGAGGCGCGAAAGCCCAGGGGAG
rnacentral:rRNA from 1 species